GGGUGAGUAAUGUCUGGGAAACUGCCUGAUGGAGGGGGAUAACUACUGGAAACGGUAGCUAAUACCGCAUAACGUCGCAAGACCAAAGAGGGGGACCUUCGGGCCUCUUGCCAUCGGAUGUGCCCAGAUGGGAUUAGCUAGUAGGUGGGGUAACGGCUCACCUAGGCGACGAUCCCUAGCUGGUCUGAGAGGAUGACCAGCCACACUGGAACUGAGACACGGUCCAGACUCCUACGGGAGGCAGCAGUGGGGAAUAUUGCACAAUGGGCGCAAGCCUGAUGCAGCCAUGCCGCGUGUAUGAAGAAGGCCUUCGGGUUGUAAAGUACUUUCAGCGGGGAGGAAGGGAGUAAAGUUAAUACCUUUGCUCAUUGACGUUACCCGCAGAAGAAGCACCGGCUAACUCCGUGCCAGCAGCCGCGGUAAUACGGAGGGUGCAAGCGUUAAUCGGAAUUACUGGGCGUAAAGCGCACGCAGGCGGUUUGUUAAGUCAGAUGUGAAAUCCCCG
rnacentral:rRNA from 1 species